rnacentral:lncRNA from 1 species
UUUGAUUAUUUUUACCUUCUUCCAUUUGAAUAUUUCAUAGCUUUUCAUGUAAAUCUGCUGUUUAAUUACCAUUACAUUUAAAAGUGCAUAAACCACUAUGUGCUUAUGAGGAACACACGUAAUAUCUAAGAAGUGGCCCUUGGAUGAGGAGCUUACAAUCUGAUAGAGCUGGCUAGACUUGUGUGCAAUAAAGACUCUUAUAAAAAGACAACGUGGAGUUAAAUUGCUCAAAAGUGUCAGAAGAAGAGGAGGGUAGGGAAAACAUCUGAGCAAAGGUAGGGAGAGAGGAAUGAUUAGAACAUACUGUAUAAGGUCACAGCAUAGUUAGAAAAUCACCCAGAUUGAAGAAGUAAGCUGACAGGGUAUAGUGUGUUACAAAUCUGGCCUGGCUGGAACACCCCUGAGCUUGCUCUGGACAAUGCCCAGCCAGGCUCGGACAUGGGCUUGCCUCUCACCCCAGGGGUGUUCCAACACAGAGCCCCUUAGAACAUAAUAAUGAGGUUGGAUUUCAUUCCAAAUAUAAUGCUAAGCCACUGAUUUAUUUAU